UCCACGCCAUAUCAGGCCAUCAAACACCUUAAAACCUAUACUAGGAUGAUAGAAGGUUUGAUGAGGUGCCAUAUGGGUCUUAAACCCAAUUAAGAAGGACUCUCCAUGUUCCUUCACGCCAAAAAGAAGUUACCAAACCAAAAAUUCUACACCAAGUUAGGUAAGAGUCCAUAUCUCUUUGGACUCUAUUUUUUUUGAUCCCUCCUUGGGCCAAGUGGUGCCAUCUGAUGGCUGCCCAC
rnacentral:lncRNA from 1 species